AAGAGAAAAAACAACGUGAAUCAAUCUCACGCAAUGGGAUCUCGAUCUACUGCCUCUCUUCCUGUGGAAAACGAAUCUCUCUCAAAUUGGAUCAGGCAAGUUGGGGCAAGGAUAUGGUGUACUCACGGGGCUAAAUUAUUUUCCUCGGUAGUUCAGGUUCUUCUUCAAUCACCAAUGUUUUCUGAAGUUGUUAUUUUUUGCCGGUUGGUAAUUUAAUCGACUGUAUGUUUUCCGUUGUCUUCGAGCUGAAUACAAGGACGAAGAUGUGUUUCUCUAGACUCCAAUUCCCCAAUCCCUUCUCUAGACAGGAAUCAGGUGCCAGGGAUUGGGGCCAAUCCCUCGACUCUCUCUGUAGUAGACAGGAAACAUGGUCAGGGAUUGCAUGGCGGCCGCAACAAUGACAGGGCUGCUGUUAACUGCUCCCGCUGGCGAGGAGAAGGAGAGGUCGUGGCACCCAGCCGCGAGGAAGACGGAGGAUCGCUGCAGCUCCACCCAGUAGUAGCCGCUCCCACAGUCCCACCCACGAAGAAGACGGAGGUUGCUUCGGCUGCUCCUGGUCGUCCCUUGCACCUUCAGUUUGAUAGGAUAAAACCGUCUGAUUCUUGAGGUGUUUCCUUGGCACACGUGAGUUUGAUCUGGAGCGAGACAAUAGAUUGGUUACUCUCUCUUAUAAGACAUGCAGAUUAUUAUUUCAACCUUGCUAUCGUCCAUCUCAUGCAUAAAGCAUAUGAGUACAUGCAAAGUGUUGUAGCUAAUAACACAUAAUUAUCUUCCGAUCAACCACCAGACUAGAUGGGUUCCGCACCAUAGACAACCAGCGGCUCCAUGUCUUACCCAUCAACUGAUUUUCUUCUUCUCAUCACCCAUGUGUAUGGCGCAUGCCAGCAUGCAACAACGCCUCCCCCUGCAGGUAUCAUGAAUGGAAAUAUUAUACCAAUCUAUGCGUCUCACAAUCGUUUCUUAAUUAAGCAUACCAAGCGUGCAGUGAAGACAUAUUAAUAUAUAAGUGCAUGCUUACACAUAUAUAUCACAAGAAGAUGUGGUCGACUUCGAGAACGUCUUAACAUCUGACGGAGUAGUUAUUUCAGGAUAAGGUAUAGCAUUAAACUGCGAAGGGGAUGUUUGUAGGCUGGUACAUAAAUAUGGUUCCUAUGUACAAAAAACCAUUUGUUCUAAUACUGGGGAUUGACGACCUUUUUUUAAAGACGUGGUAGCAACAACAGCACCAUUUAUUCUGGCGAUGACAUGUCCAUGUACAUUGAUAUGGUUGACACACACCUCAGGCUUCAUGGCCAUUUACAGUGUCUCUAUAUGGAUGGAGUAUUUGUUUGUUCUUUUCUAAAAAAAGGUCUGGGGUAGUUGGGAGACUAUUGAGAAUAAGAAGAAGAAAUCAGGGUAAACAUCUGGGAGGGGACAAUACAGCAUGCCAAGCUUGAAUGGCAAUGGAUCUUUGCGUCCUUCAGGAAACAAUUCGGCUUCUCAACUUUAAUGGCAAUGUUCAUCUUUGGGAACACGUAAGAAGUCAGAUUUUGCAUUUUGAGGCGAUAUCUGCUCCUCAACUCCUUGUAGAUGUGAUACUUGAUUUCAAUAUUUUUGGGAUGUACCUAUUUGGAAAGAAAGAAAAACUUCAUAGUUGAAGUAUCGCUAUGAUUCAACAUGGAG